rnacentral:rRNA from 1 species
AGCGUACACGGUGGAUGCCCUGGCAGUCAGAGGCGAUGAAGGACGUGCUAAUCUGCGAUAAGCGUCGGUAAGGUGAUAUGAACCGUUAUAACCGGCGAUUUCCGAAUGGGGAAACCCAGUGUGUUUCGACACACUAUCAUUAACUGAAUCCAUAGGUUAAUGAGGCGAACCGGGGGAACUGAAACAUCUAAGUACCCCGAGGAAAAGAAAUCAACCGAGAUUCCCCCAGUAGCGGCGAGCGAACGGGGAGGAGCCCAGAGCCUGAAUCAGUAUGUGUGUUAGUGGAAGCGUCUGGAAAGGCGCGCGAUACAGGGUGACAGCCCCGUACACAAAAAUGCACAUGCUGUGAGCUCGAUGAGUAGGGCGGGACACGUGGUAUCCUGUCUGAAUAUGGGGGGACCAUCCUCCAAGGCUAAAUACUCCUGACUGACCGAUAGUGAACCAGUACCGUGAGGGAAAGGCGAAAAGAACCCCGGCGAGGGGAGUGAAAAAGAACCUGAAACCGUGUACGUACAAGCAGUGGGAGCACGCUUAGGCGUGUGACUGCGUACCUUUUGUAUAAUGGGUCAGCGACUUAUAUUCUGUAGCAAGGUUAACCGAAUAGGGGAGCCGAAGGGAAACCGAGUCUUAACUGGGCGUUAAGUUGCAGGGUAUAGACCCGAAACCCGGUGAUCUAGCCAUGGGCAGGUUGAAGGUUGGGUAACACUAACUGGAGGACCGAACCGACUAAUGUUGAAAAAUUAGCGGAUGACUUGUGGCUGGGGGUGAAAGGCCAAUCAAACCGGGAGAUAGCUGGUUCUCCCCGAAAGCUAUUUAGGUAGCGCCUCGUGAAUUCAUCUCCGGGGGUAGAGCACUGUUUCGGCAAGGGGGUCAUCCCGACUUACCAACCCGAUGCAAACUGCGAAUACCGGAGAAUGUUAUCACGGGAGACACACGGCGGGUGCUAACGUCCGUCGUGAAGAGGGAAACAACCCAGACCGCCAGCUAAGGUCCCAAAGUCAUGGUUAAGUGGGAAACGAUGUGGGAAGGCCCAGACAGCCAGGAUGUUGGCUUAGAAGCAGCCAUCAUUUAAAGAAAGCGUAAUAGCUCACUGGUCGAGUCGGCCUGCGCGGAAGAUGUAACGGGGCUAAACCAUGCACCGAAGCUGCGGCAGCGACGCUUAUGCGUUGUUGGGUAGGGGAGCGUUCUGUAAGCCUGCGAAGGUGUGCUGUGAGGCAUGCUGGAGGUAUCAGAAGUGCGAAUGCUGACAUAAGUAACGAUAAAGCGGGUGAAAAGCCCGCUCGCCGGAAGACCAAGGGUUCCUGUCCAACGUUAAUCGGGGCAGGGUGAGUCGACCCCUAAGGCGAGGCCGAAAGGCGUAGUCGAUGGGAAACAGGUUAAUAUUCCUGUACUUGGUGUUACUGCGAAGGGGGGACGGAGAAGGCUAUGUUGGCCGGGCGACGGUUGUCCCGGUUUAAGCGUGUAGGCUGGUUUUCCAGGCAAAUCCGGAAAAUCAAGGCUGAGGCGUGAUGACGAGGCACUACGGUGCUGAAGCAACAAAUGCCCUGCUUCCAGGAAAAGCCUCUAAGCAUCAGGUAACAUCAAAUCGUACCCCAAACCGACACAGGUGGUCAGGUAGAGAAUACCAAGGCGCUUGAGAGAACUCGGGUGAAGGAACUAGGCAAAAUGGUGCCGUAACUUCGGGAGAAGGCACGCUGAUAUGUAGGUGAAGCGACUUGCUCGUGGAGCUGAAAUCAGUCGAAGAUACCAGCUGGCUGCAACUGUUUAUUAAAAACACAGCACUGUGCAAACACGAAAGUGGACGUAUACGGUGUGACGCCUGCCCGGUGCCGGAAGGUUAAUUGAUGGGGUCAGCGCAAGCGAAGCUCUUGAUCGAAGCCCCGGUAAACGGCGGCCGUAACUAUAACGGUCCUAAGGUAGCGAAAUUCCUUGUCGGGUAAGUUCCGACCUGCACGAAUGGCGUAAUGAUGGCCAGGCUGUCUCCACCCGAGACUCAGUGAAAUUGAACUCGCUGUGAAGAUGCAGUGUACCCGCGGCAAGACGGAAAGACCCCGUGAACCUUUACUAUAGCUUGACACUGAACAUUGAGCCUUGAUGUGUAGGAUAGGUGGGAGGCUUUGAAGUGUGGACGCCAGUCUGCAUGGAGCCGACCUUGAAAUACCACCCUUUAAUGUUUGAUGUUCUAACGUUGACCCGUAAUCCGGGUUGCGGACAGUGUCUGGUGGGUAGUUUGACUGGGGCGGUCUCCUCCUAAAGAGUAACGGAGGAGCACGAAGGUUGGCUAAUCCUGGUCGGACAUCAGGAGGUUAGUGCAAUGGCAUAAGCCAGCUUGACUGCGAGCGUGACGGCGCGAGCAGGUGCGAAAGCAGGUCAUAGUGAUCCGGUGGUUCUGAAUGGAAGGGCCAUCGCUCAACGGAUAAAAGGUACUCCGGGGAUAACAGGCUGAUACCGCCCAAGAGUUCAUAUCGACGGCGGUGUUUGGCACCUCGAUGUCGGCUCAUCACAUCCUGGGGCUGAAGUAGGUCCCAAGGGUAUGGCUGUUCGCCAUUUAAAGUGGUACGCGAGCUGGGUUUAGAACGUCGUGAGACAGUUCGGUCCCUAUCUGCCGUGGGCGCUGGAGAACUGAGGGGGGCUGCUCCUAGUACGAGAGGACCGGAGUGGACGCAUCACUGGUGUUCGGGUUGUCAUGCCAAUGGCACUGCCCGGUAGCUAAAUGCGGAAGAGAUAAGUGCUGAAAGCAUCUAAGCACGAAACUUGCCCCGAGAUGAGUUCUCCCUGACUCCUUGA